AACGAACGCUGGCGGCAGGCCUAACACAUGCAAGUCGAACGCCCCGCAAGGGGAGUGGCAGACGGGCGAGUAACACGUGGGAACCUUCCCUAUAGUACGGAAUAGCCCAGGGAAACUUGGAGUAAUACCGUAUACGCCCGAAAGGGGAAAGAAUUUCGCUAUAGGAUGGGCCCGCGUAGGAUUAGCUAGUUGGUGAGGUAAUGGCUCACCAAGGCGACGAUCCUUAGCUGGUUUGAGAGAACGACCAGCCACACUGGGACUGAGACACGGCCCAGACUCCUACGGGAGGCAGCAGUGGGGAAUAUUGGACAAUGGGCGCAAGCCUGAUCCAGCCAUGCCGCGUGAGUGAUGAAGGCCUUAGGGUUGUAAAGCUCUUUUGGCGGGGACGAUAAUGACGGUACCCGCAGAAUAAGUCCCGGCUAACUUCGUG
rnacentral:rRNA from 1 species